CCAAACUGGCGUGAGGUCUACAAGCGGAUUGCACUCGAUCACACCGAUGCUAGAGUUGGUGAGUUCCCUUCCCUCUGCCACAAAACUUCAUCACACAACAAAUUUUGAAGGAAAAAAAAAUAAAAAUUUUAAUUUCCCUAAUAUGGGAGGAAUUUAAAGUACUCGUGUUAUGAAAAUUGUUUUCAUAAUAUAAUUUAUAAUUGCAGUGUCAUAGUAACAGUAUUCCAAAUCAAUAAGUUUUAUACUUUCUCACAUAAUAAUGCAUAAUUGACUUAAAAUGUUGUCACUAUGACAUUUAGUCACGUGGAAGUUCUGCUCUACUAAGAGCAUCUUCAAAUGAGAUGUCAAAUCCUAGGUGGAGAUGUCACUGUGCGUAUUUGAUAUAAAAAAAUCCUUCCAAUCAAAGUGUUAUUUGUUAAUUUGAUUUCAAGCCUUGAUUAGAAGUCAAAUUUGACAUCAACAUCAAAUUUAUUUUUAACUAAUUUUAAUGGUGGGUUCUUUAUUCCACUAACAUUUACAAAUUUUGUUUCAACAAUUUUUUAAAAUAUAACAAUCAUUUAAAGUUCUAUAUUAAUAAGAAAAUAGCAUUUGACAAUUCAGUUAGAGAAGUACAAAAUUUGACAUAAGACUUCGGAUGGGAUUUAGGAAUGAUCUAAUACACCAAAUAUUCCUCAAAAAAUAACAUAUCAUAUUUACAAACUAUUAGUAACCACAUCUUUUUAUAGGAUAAGGUUUCUCGUAAAGCAUAACUUUUUUAAAAGUAUGAAUAACAAUUCUCUUCUUUGUUUUAACGUGUUACACAUAUUAGCUUUCCUAGUUCCUUUUACUAUCGCAUUUAUGUCGUCGUUAAAGAAAGUCAUUGGUUGGAUAAUAUUCUAGGGGGUGGGGCUUUUGUUGUUGAGGAUGAUAGAACGUGGAUGACCAUCAACACAAUAUCAAUGUCUUAAUCAUGUUCAAUUAUUUAACCAGAAGGGGUUGUUUUUGUGUCGUGCAGGGGUGUUCUACUGCGGGCCACCGGCGCUUACCGAAGAGCUACGCCAGCUGUCCCUCGACUUCUCUCACAAAACCUCCACCCGAUUUGAGUUCCACAAAGAAAACUUCUGAUAACACAAGUCUGUCCCACACAUUAUAUAUAUAAUUAUAAUUAUACAAGUU
rnacentral:lncRNA from 1 species